rnacentral:rRNA from 1 species
GCGGAGGAAAAGAAACCAACAGGGAUUGCCCCAGUAACGGCGAGUGAAGCGGCAACAGCUCAAAUUUGAAAUCUGGCUUCGGCCCGAGUUGUAAUUUGUAGAGGAUGCUUUGGGCGCGGCGCCUUCUGAGUUCCCUGGAACGGGACGCCACAGAGGGUGAGAGCCCCGUAUAGUUGGACGCCUAGCCUGUGUAAAGCUCCUUCGACGAGUCGAGUAGUUUGGGAAUGCUGCUCAAAAUGGGAGGUAAAUUUCUUCUAAAGCUAAAUACCGGCCAGAGACCGAUAGCGCACAAGUAGAGUGAUCGAAAGAUGAAAAGCACUUUGAAAAGAGGGUUAAAUAGCACGUGAAAUUGUUGAAAGGGAAGCGCUUGUGACCAGACUUGCGCCGGGCCGAUCAUCCGGGGUUCUCCCCGGUGCACUCGGCCCGGCUCGGGCCAGCAUCGGUUCUCGCGGGGGGACAAAGGCCUCGGGAAUGUAGCUCCUCCGGGAGUGUUAUAGCCCGGGGCGUAAUGCCCUCGCGGGGACCGAGGUACGCGCAUCUGCAAGGAUGCUGGCGUAAUGGUCACCAGCGACCCGUCUU